rnacentral:misc_RNA from 1 species
AACGCACGAGACCUGCGGACCUGCGGAAGGAUCAUUAAUGAGAAGCUGCCCCUCGUGGGUAGACCUCCCACCCUCUGUGAACUUACCUUUGUUGCUUCGGCAGGCCCGUCCUCUGGACCGCCGGCUUCGGCUGGCCCGUGCCUGCCAGAGGAUUCCAAACCCUGUCUGUCAGUGUUGUCUGAGUCUAUAUGAAAUCGUUAAAACUUUCAACAACGGAUCUCUAGAUCGGAAGAGCACACG